rnacentral:rRNA from 1 species
GACGAACGCUGCGGCGUGCUUACCACAUGCAAGUCGAGCGGUAAGGCCUUUCGGGGUACACGAGCGGCGAACGGGUGAGUAACACGUGGGUGAUCUGCCCUGCACUUCGGGAUAAGCCUGGGAAACUGGGUCUAAUACCGGAUAUGACCUCCUAUCGCAUGGUGGGUGGUGGAAAGAUUUAUCGGUGCAGGAUGGGCCCGCGGCCUAUCAGCUUGUUGGUGGGGUAAUGGCCUACCAAGGCGACGACGGGUAGCCGACCUGAGAGGGUGACCGGCCACACUGGGACUGAGACACGGCCCAGACUCCUACGGGAGGCAGCAGUGGGGAAUAUUGCACAAUGGGCGAAAGCCUGAUGCAGCGACGCCGCGUGAGGGAUGACGGCCUUCGGGUUGUAAACCUCUUUCAGCAGGGACGAAGCGCAAGUGAC